rnacentral:rRNA from 1 species
UACGGAGGGUGCAAACGUUGCUCGGAAUCAUUGGGCGUAAAGCGCACGUAGGCGGACCGCUAAGUCGGAUGUGAAAGCCCCGGGCUUAACCUGGGAACUGCGUUUGAAACUGGGGAGCUGGAGUGUAGAAGAGGGGGGUGGAAUUCCAGGUGUAGCGGUGAAAUGCGUAGAUAUCGGGAGGAACACCUGUGGCGAAGGCGGCCCCCUGGUUGGAUACUGACGCUGAUACGCGAAAGCGUGGGGAGCAAACAGG